rnacentral:rRNA from 1 species
UGGUUCUCCCCGAAAUAGCUUUAGGGCUAGCGUCGAGAGAGAGUCAUGUGAAGGUAGAGCACUGAAUAUGUGAUGGCCCCAUCCCGGGGUACUGAAUAUAAUCAAACUCCGAAUGUCACAGAGACAUGCUCGGCAGUCAGACAGCGGGUGAUAAGGUCCACUGUCAAGAGGGAAACAGCCCAGACCAUCAGCUAAGGUCCCAAAAUAUAUACUAAGUGGAAAAGGAUGUGGAGAUGUCCAGACAACUAGGAGGUUGGCUCAGAAGCAGCCAUCCUUUAAAGAGUGCGUAACAGCUCACUAGUCGAAUGACUCUGCGCCGAUAAUUUACCGGGGCUAAGUAUAUUACCGAAGCUAUGGAUUUGCGAUGAGCAAGUGGUAGGGGAGCGUUCUAUGAGCGAAGAAGCAGUACCGGAAGGAGCUGUGGAGCAUAUAGAAGAGAGAAUGCCGGUGUGAGUAGCGGAACGUGGGUGAGAAUCCCACGCACCGAAAACCCAAGGUUUCCAGAGGAAGGUUCGUCCGCUCUGGGUAAGUCGGGACCUAAGGCGAGGCCGAGAGGCGUAGUCGAUGGACAACAGGUAGAGAUUCCUGUACUUACGGUAUGAAUGAAGGAGUGACGGAGAAGGCUAGGUGAUCCUGCGGCUGGAAGAGCAGGUGCAAGCGAGGUAGCAGAUAUCCAGGCAAAUCCGGAUGUCGAGAAAGCGAAGGCGUGAAGCGGAUGGAAAGCCAAGGCAAGUACAGAAGUCAUUGAAGCCAGCUUCCAAGAAAAGCUUCUAGUGAAAAUCAUACAGUAACCCGUACCGAAAAUGGACACACAUGGGUGAGGAGAGAAUCCUAAGGUGAGCGAGAGAACUAUAGCUAAGGAACUCUGCAAAAUGACUCCGUAACUUAGGGAGAAGGAGUGCUCAUAGAGAUAUGAGCCGCAGUGAAACGGCCCAAGCGACUGUUUACCAAAAACACAGCUCUAUGCUAAGUCGAAAGACGACGUAUAUGGGGUGACGCCUGCCCGGUGCUGGAAGGUUAAGAGGAUGUGUCAGCGCAAGCGAAGCACUGAAUUGAAGCCCCAGUAAACGGCGGCCGUAACUAUAACGGUCCUAAGGUAGCGAAAUUCCUUGUCAGGUAAGUUCUGACCCGCACGAAAGGCGUAACGAUUUGGGCGCUGUCUCAGCUGUAGACUCGGUGAAGUCUUAGUACCUGUGAAGAUGCAGGUUACCCGCGACUAGACGGAAAGACCCCAUGGAGCUUUACUGUAGCUUGAUAUUGGACUUUGAUGCAGGAUGUACAGGAUAGGUAGGAGACUGAGAGACAUGCACGCCAGUGUGUGAGGAGUCGCUGUUGGGAUACUACUCUUCCUGUAUUGGAGUUCUAACCGGAUGCCAUAAGCUGGCAACGGGACAGUGUCAGGCGGGCAGUUUGACUGGGGCGGUCGCCUCCCAAAGAGUAACGGAGGCGCCCAAAGAUACCCUCAGCUUGGAUGGAAAUCAAGCGCAGAGUGCAAAGGCAAAAGGGUGUUUGACUGCGAGACCAACAAGUCGAGCAGGGACGAAAGUCGGGCUUAGUGAUCCGGCGGUGCUGAAUGGAAAGGCCGUCGCUCAACGGAUAAAAGCUACCCUGGGGAUAACAGGCUGAUCUCCCCCAAGAGUUCACAUCGACGGGGAGGUUUGGCACCUCGAUGUCGGCUCAUCGCAUCCUGGAGCUGAAGUCGGUUCCAAGGGUUGGGCUGUUCGCCCAUUAAAGCGGUACGCGAGCUGGGUUCAGAACGUCGUGAGACAGUUCGGUCCCUAUCUGUCGUGGGCGUAGGAAGUUUGAGAAGAUCUGUCCUCAGUACGAGAGGACCGGGAUGGACAUAUCAAUGGUGCACCAGUUGUCACGCCAGUGGCACAGCUGGGUAGCUAAAUAUGGAAGGGAUAAACGCUGAAGGCAUCUAAGUGUGAAACCCACUUCAAGAUGAGACUUCCCAUUACGCAAGUAGGUAAGACCCCUUAAAGACGAUAAGGUUGA